AGAAUAAAAACAACUUUUUAUUAUAAACCCCAUGUAUAUAUAUAUUUAUACACAUGCCACCUUGCGCAGGAUGCAAAUACUUUGAUCAGUACUAUUAAAUUUUUUUGUUUUUUAAAGAAAACGACACCCCGUAAUUUAUUAAAGAACCCUCAGUACUUAAAAACUUGAUUACAACUAAGGACUCCAUCUUUAUGGUAACAUUAAACCCAACAGUAAUGUUGUUGGUUUUUGAUAUGUAAAGCAGUACUAACCCAUUUAUUCAAGUAUUUGCCUUUUAGUUUCGGACCAAGCUGCUGACAGCACACACUGGUCUCCGUUCAUUUCAUUUAUAAUUGCAAACUACAAACCAGAGAGGGAGAGAGAGAGAUAGAGAGAGAGGUCAGUGUCAAUAGCUGUAAAGACCAAACCCACCAUUGAAUACUUCAUCUAUAGCACGGUACAAGAAGAGGAAGAGAGAUCUAGCCCGAGACGUGGUUUCCAACAAAGUCCAGAUGCUAUUCAUCGUUCUGGUUCUUGGAUCUCACUUGUCCGGUUUGUUGGUUUGAGAGGUUGAAGCUGCCAGCAUGAUCUGGUAAGAACCAAUCAGUCUAGACAAUAGCGUGAAUCUUGCACCAACAAAUUCAGAUAUGUAGCCACUUAGGUGCGGAGAAUAUAUUUGGCGGAACCCAUAUGGUUUAUAUGUCCUCGAAAAAAAUAUAUGAACUAUAUAUAUAUAUAUAUAUAUAUAUAUAUAUAUAUAUCACCUGGCCUGCUUCAUCUAGAUCAAUUUUGCUUGAUUUUAUUCGAUGAAUAUGUGAGUAAUAUUAAUAUUGAUUCUAUAGCUAAACAGAUAAGUUUUUAAAGGGGUUUUCGAGGAAGCCAAGGAUUAUUAACUAGAAUCAACGAGAAAUUAAAUCUCGUUCCACUUCAACUUCGUAGAUAAUAUGGUUCCAUCAGGUCAUCCUGCAGCUUCAAUCACUCACUUCCGACAAAGGAAGAAACCUUCGCAUCUUUUUAAGGAUGUAUACUAGUACUGGUUCAUACUCUACAAAUGCAUUCCAGCAGGUAUUGAUCAUCCAAUAUUCUAUAUUUGUUUUAUUUCUUGUAUCUUCUGAUCUCAUGGAGAAGUUUUGUUGUUGAUUUUGAUCAAGAACUAGACCAAUUCAUUUUUCUGUAGUGAUUUUGCAUUCAGAAGCUAGCUAUAAUUAUUUGGCUUUCCACAGACAUAUAGUAGUACUUAUGAAUACAUACAUACAUGACAUGAAAGAUGCCACGCACCUGCUUGUCCAUGCUAGCUGUCAUGGCUUCUUGAGUUUUCAACUCACCCAGAACCAGCCAUGCCUCGUAAUAAUAUUUUGAAAACGAAAACGAAAAUCUCUGAUCUCUGUCUCUCGCUAGGCAUGUGCAUUUUUGUCUUGAUUUUUGUGGUAGUAUCUGGAAGACUAGAACCAUAAUGUAAAACAAAUUCUCAAGACAAGCCAACGAGGCAGUUAUCAAAGCGUAGUUGCACUUUUGGCCGCUGGUACUUUACAUGUAUAUCAUGCACAGAUAGAUAGCUGUUGCUCUCUGAUCAUAUAUAUGUGUGUGUGGUCUCUCAAAUCUCAAUAUCUAUAUAUUCAUCUCAUUUACCAUCUCAUGCUUUCAUUCAUCUUUCAGAAAAAGGGACUGAAAAGGUACGACUACUAUUGUUUUACCUUUGUCACAUGAUCUACUGCUAUUACGUGUCCAGUACGUUUUGAUGUUCAUAUUGAUCUAGCAGUUUAUAU